rnacentral:rRNA from 1 species
UACGUAGGGCGCGAGCGUUUGUCCGGAAUUAUUGGGCGUAAAGAGCUCGUAGGCGGUUUGUCGCGUCGGUUGUGAAAACCCAAGGCUCAACCUUGGGCCUGCAAUCGAUACGGGCAGACUAGAGUGCUGCAGGGGAGACUGGAAUUCCUGGUGUAGCGGUGGAAUGCGCAGAUAUCAGGAGGAACACCGGUGGCGAAGGCGGGUCUCUGGGCAGUAACUGACGUGGAGGAGCGAAAA